GACGAACGCUGGCGGCGUGGAUUAGGCAUGCAAGUCGGACGGUAGGGCUUUAUCGUAAGAUAGAGUUUGAGAGUGGCGAACGGGUGAGUAACACGUAGGAAUCUACCCUUAAGACGGGGACAACCCAGGGAAACUUGGGCUAAUACCGGAUGAGAGUGCGAGAGAUUGCAUUUAAAAGGAUGGCGAAAGUUGUCGCUUAGGGAUGAGCCUGCGGUCUAUUAGUUAGUUGGUGAGGUAAGAGCUCACCAAGGCGAUGAUAGAUAGGCGGCCUUAACGGGUGGUCGCCCACACUGGGAUUGAGAUACGGCCCAGACUCCUACGGGAGGCAGCAGUAGGGAAUAUUGGGCAAUGGGCGAAAGCCUGACCCAGCCAUGCCGCGUGAAGGAAGACGGCCUUAUGGGUUGUAAACUUCUUUACUACGCGAAUAGAGGUUAGUACGAGAUACUAAUAGGAAGGUAGUGUAGUAAAAGCACCGGCUAACUCCGUG
rnacentral:rRNA from 1 species